rnacentral:rRNA from 1 species
AAGCUCGUAGUUGAAUUUCGGAUAAUAAAAAUUUAACAUCCAUCUCUAAGAUGUGAUUUAAUUUUUAUUUCCUUCCUUUUGAAUACACUCCUUAAAAUUAAUUUUUAAGGGUUCAGUGUUUCAAAUCGUUUACUGUGAAGAAAUUAGAGUGCUUAAAGCAGGCUUGUGCUUGAAUAGAUUAGCAUGGAAUAAUAAAAUAGGACGGCAUGGUUCUAUUUUGUUGGUUUCUAGGAUCACCGUAAUGAUUAAUAGGGAUAGUUGGG